CCUACGGGAGGCAGCAGUGGGGAAUAUUGGACAAUGGGGGCAACCCUGAUCCAGCCAUGCCGCGUGUGUGAAGAAGGCCCUCGGGCUGUAAAGCACUUUCAGUGAGGAAGAACGCCUGGUGGUUAAUACCCAUCAGGAAAGACAUCACUCACAGAAGAAGCGCCGGCUAACUCCGUGCCAGCAGCCGCGGUAAUACGGAGGGUGCGAGCGUUAAUCGGAAUUACUGGGCGUAAAGCGCGCGUAGGUGGCUUGAUAAGCCGGUUGUGAAAGCCCCGGGCUCAACCUGGGAACGGCAUCCGGAACUGUCAAGCUAGAGUGCAGGAGAGGAAGGUAGAAUUCCCGGUGUAGCGGUGAAAUGCGUAGAGAUCGGGAGGAAUACCAGUGGCGAAGGCGGCCUUCUGGACUGACACUGACACUGAGGUGCGAAAGCGUGGGUAGCAAACAGGAUUAGAUACCCCGGUAGUC
rnacentral:rRNA from 1 species